AUGAUUGAGAGAACAUCCAGAAAUAGGUUGCCUUUCUACAGUGUAUUUUUCCUGGUCAUAAAGCUUUUAUGUGAUUCAGCUAGACCAGGGGUCACCAGACUCCGGCCCUCCAGGACCAUGUUUGGUGACCCCUGAGCUACACCAAGAUAUCAGAGGCCAGCCUUUAAAUCAGCAGCUACGCACAACUGUUGUACAGCCGGACUACUAAAGAUUUAUAAAGUGGUUGUCAGACUGCUUUCUCCAUAAGUCUGCAAUGCCCGUACACAGAAAACUGACUGUGUUCUUUAAUGUUUUGUUGGAAAAAGUAACGGAAGGUUGGUACGAAUGAGGCAACCUACUUUUUUCAACAAGUAGGUGAGAGAUAAAUAGGGUGGAAUGUAUUGUGUAAAGCGCACAGGGAAUGAGGGUCCGGUUUGUGUUGUGAAGCUUUUUGAAUUGUGCUAAUGCUUGAACUUGUGGAUGUUACAAAAAGAGGUCAACAUGACCGCUGCCAAAAGAGGGUUGUGAUCAUUCAGUUUCCAGUAUUUUAUGUCAUUUUUCUAAAGACAAGACCCACCUCUUCGCAGUAAACCAACAGUACAGCAGUGGUGAGUAUAAAGGCUGUUGUGUCUAAGAAAACUCAAAACAUUAUCCAUUUGAUCUGUACAAAUGGGAAAUGUAAAGAUAACCCUCUGCUGAAGUGUUACCAACAUGUAAUCUAAAAAGAAAGCAUUAUUUUUGUAUUUUGAAAGGGGUUUGAAAAAAAAAAAAAGUAAAAGUAAAAUUGUGUACUGAUCAGUGUUGAGAAAGCUGUGACACACAGGUUCUAAAACAGUUUCUCGAGUUCCCCGGCUUCCAACUUUACCCUUAACGUUUGUUUAAAGAUUACAGCAUGAUAUACAUUUUUGAUUUUUAGAGGGGUUUAAUUCAGUGCAAGUGGUUGGGAAUAUUAGAAGCCAAAUCAGUUCUACAGUGGAGGUAAUGUGUGGGUAAAGCUGUACAGUAAAACCAGGGGGACCCCAGAAUUACUUGUCUGACAACCAAUAAUUAAAGGUUAUUUAAGGGAAAAUAAUCUAUAGAGGACUAAACUUAUUGCUGGUGAUUUAGCUACUGUAAAUUAUAACUAAUUCAACUGUUGAUUCUAUUUAUGUUUUGUAACUAAUCAAAAAUAAACAUCAAAUGUUAAACAUCAAGGUGAUAUGGGUUAUUUUUUGUUACAUUCAAAAGCAUAUUUUGUCAUUUUUAAUAAAAAAUACAGCAAAAACUGUCAUACUGUAAAAUAUUCUUAAAAUAACCGUUUUCUAUUUAAUCCUGUGAUUGUAAAGCUGAAUUUUCAGCAGUCAUUACUCUAGUCUUCAGUGUUACAAGAUCCUUCAGAAAUCAGUCUAAUAUGCUAAUUUGCUGCUAAAGAUACAUUCAUCAAUAUCAAUGUUGCCAACAGUUGUGCUGCUUGAUAUUUAUUCAUUUAAUCAUUUUUCAGGACUCUUUGAUGAAUUGAAAAUUAAAAAUAGCAUUUAUUUAUUUUGUCUUUGAGAAAUAUCUUUACUGUCACUUUUUAUUUUAUUUAAUACGUCUUUGCUAAAUAAAAGUAUUAAUUUCCUUAAAAAUCCUA
ensembl:lncRNA